rnacentral:tRNA from 1 species
GCCGAGGUGGCGGAAUUGGUAGACGCGCUGGCUUCAGAAGCCAGUGGGGGAAACCCCGUGGAGGUUCAAGUCCUCUCCUCGGCACCA